GGCGCUGUGGCUCAAGCGGUAGAGCGCUUGCCUUGAGCUCAAGAGCGCAGGGACAGCGCCC
rnacentral:tRNA from 1 species